AAAAAAAAAAAACCUGAGUUUCCGUGUCUAAUGUUUAACCGUCCGUCUUAUUUGAAAAAAUUAAAAAGACAAGUCGCGCAUAAAAUAUUUAUCAUGUUUUAUCAUCUAACAACAAUGAAAAUACUAAUUAUAAAAAAAAUCCAUAUAAGACGGACGGUCAAACGUUGGACACGAAAAUCCAGGGUUUGUCUUAUU
rfam:Oryza meridionalis cultivar OR44 (W2112) chromosome 4, whole genome shotgun sequence.